rnacentral:sRNA from 1 species
CCCUCUUUGUUCCCUGGUCCGGGCCGCAGGCCGGCUGCGGCGGACUGGGCGGCGGAAGUUCGACGGCGCCGGGCGAGUGGCUGUUGAGCGGCGGCGCGGGAGUUCCGCAGGUUCCCCGUGUCCGCAGCGGAGCCGGAGGCCAGCUGAGCCCGGCCGUGGGAUCCCGGAUAGGAGGAGGAGGGGACCCACAGGACGCGUAAACAUGGACCUGGAAAACAAAGUGAAGAAGAUGGGCUUAGGUCACGAGCAAGGAUUUGGAGCCCCUUGUUUAAAAUGCAAAGAAAAAUGUGAAGGAUUCGAACUGCACUUCUGGAGAAAAAUAUGUCGUAACUGCAAGUGUGGCCAAGAAGAGCAUGAUGUCCUCUUGAGCAAUGAAGAGGAUCGAAAAGUGGGAAAACUUUUUGAAGACACCAAGUAUACCACUCUGAUUGCAAAACUAAAGUCAGAUGGAAUUCCCAUGUAUAAACGCAAUGUUAUGAUAUUGACGAAUCCAGUUGCUGCCAAGAAGAAUGUCUCCAUCAAUACAGUUACCUAUGAGUGGGCUCCUCCUGUCCAGAAUCAAGCAUUGGUAAAUAAUAUGGGGACAGAGAGUUUCUUUAUUGAAGUUCCUGGAGUAUUUAUUUGGGGCAGUUUCUUUGAUGACCUAAUCAACUUCACACGUCCCAGAUCUGUUAUUCUUCCGGGGUUCUCAUUACUUUGACUUCUGAUUCCUGUUCUAGUCUUUUGAAUGUAAGACUAGAUACUUCAUAAAAUUUUUCCAACUCCCUAGAUAUGUUUACCUUUUUGAGGGAAUGGUCUAACGUUCUUAAUAAUUAGAUGGAAAUCAGAUGUUUUAUAUCAAUCUAGUAACUCUUCUAGCUUAGUCUUGAGAGGA